rnacentral:rRNA from 1 species
GGAGUUUGAUCUUGGCUCAGAUUGAACGCUGGCGGUAGGCCUAACACAUGCAAGUCGAGCGGAUGACGGGAGCUUGCUCCUUGAUUCAGCGGCGGACGGGUGAGUAAUGCCUAGGAAUCUGCCUGGUAGUGGGGGACAACGUUUCGAAAGGAACGCUAAUACCGCAUACGUCCUACGGGAGAAAGCAGGGGACCUUCGGGCCUUGCGCUAUCAGAUGAGCCUAGGUCGGAUUAGCUAGUUGGUGUGGUAAUGGCUCACCAAGGCGACGAUCCGUAACUGGUCUGAGAGGAUGAUCAGUCACACUGGAACUGAGACACGGUCCAGACUCCUACGGGAGGCAGCAGUGGGGAAUAUUGGACAAUGGGCGAAAGCCUGAUCCAGCCAUGCCGCGUGUGUGAAGAAGGUCUUCGGAUUGUAAAGCACUUUAAGUUGGGAGGAAGGGCAGUAAGUUAAUACCUUGCUGUUUUGACGUUACCGACAGAAUAAGCACCGGCUAACUCUGUGCCAGCCGCCGA